ACGAUCUGCACCCUGUCAAAGGGUCGAUCCACAAACUGUGCACCCUCUGUCGUGUUUGGCGGCAGGACGGUUCGAAGUUCCCCUGGGGGGUCGCAAGAUUCCCUGAGACUUGCACCGUCCCGCGUCGGAGGGUCGCGAGUCCUCGUUCCCCCGGCGUUUUGCCGCCAGUGAAAACAAACAUCUUGCACUUUGGACUGAUCAUUACGUCACGCAAGUGAUAAAAUCCGAAA
rnacentral:misc_RNA from 1 species